rnacentral:rRNA from 1 species
AGAGUUUGAUCCUGGCUCAGAUUGAACGCUGGCGGCGUGCCUAACACAUGCAAGUCGAGCGGUAGCAGGUGUAGCAAUACAUGCUGACGAGCGGCGAACGGGUGAGUAAUGCUUCGGAAUCUACCCACGGGUGGGGAAUAACCAACCGAAAGGUUGGCUAAUACCGCAUAAGUCCUACGGGGGAAAGCGGGGGAUCGAAAGACCUCGCGCCGGUGGAUGAGCCGAAGCCGGAUUAGCUAGUUGGUGAGGUAAAGGCCCACCAAGGCGACGAUCGGUAGCUGGUCUGAGAGGACGACCAGCCACACUGGGACUGAGACACGGCCCAGACUCCUACGGGAGGCGAC